rnacentral:rRNA from 1 species
GACGAACGCUGGCGGCGUGCUUAACACAUGCAAGUCGAACGGAAAGGCCCUGCUUUUGUGGGGUGCUCGAGUGGCGAACGGGUGAGUAACACGUGAGUAACCUGCCCUUGACUUUGGGAUAACUUCAGGAAACGGGGGCUAAUACCGGAUAGGAGCUCCUGCUGCAUGGUGGGGGUGGGAAAGUUUCGGCGGUUGGGGAUGGACUCGCGGCUUACCAGCUUGUUGGUGGGGGAGUGGCUUACCAAGGCUUUGACGGGUAGCCGGCCUGGGGGGGUGGCCGGCCACAUUGGGCCUAGGAUCCGGCCCAGACUCCUACGGGGGGCAGCAGUGGGGAAUAUUGCACAAUGGGCCGACGCCUGAUGCAGCGACGCCGCGUGCGGGAUGACGGCCUUCGGGUUGUAAACCGCUUUCGCCUGUGACGAAGCGUGAGUGACGGUAAUGGGUAAAGAAGCACCGGCUAACUACGUG